CAUCCCCUUCCCUUGGACGGCGCCCACCUUUUUGCAGGCGGUCUUUGCCCUACUACCACCAAUCUGCUUCCCCGCGUUGCCGGCCGGCCGGCCGUCCCUAGACACUCACGCCGCAUACUGCUUCCACAUGAUUCGAGGCCGAGUGGCCGGAUUGGGUUGCUGGUCGUGCCUCUUCCCCAUGGUUCCCGCAUCCUCCCAGCGUGUCCGACCGGCGAGAGGGAGUGGUGGCGGGGGGAGUGGUGGCCGGCUUGCCGAGCGAGGCUCAGUGGCUGUCUCUGGUCCUCUCGCUGUCCUCCAGUCCCUCUCCUGUCGCCCCUCAGUUCAUGUCGCCCCUACCUCCAUCCAUGGCUUCCAGCGGCAUCCUGCCUCUCCAGCGACCCAUCUUCGAUGCUCUUUAGCAAUUUCCGUGUGAUUCGUCACAUCCUCGGCCUGUCCAUCCUGCUUACCCGAACGACAAUUGGUCACCAGGAUGAUUUGGGGACAGGGACUGCGGAGGUUAAGCUCGCCGUUGGUCGGGAUGCCUGCUGGCCCGGCUUGAUGGCCAACAAGCUGGCUCGGUUGCUAGCUUCUUAUCCUCUCUCUAGGUAGUUUGCACUCAAACUGAGGCAUACAGCUCUGCAAAAGUAGAUUACAAUAACCACCAUGUAUUCUGUUUAUGCAUGAGUUACAAGUUGAGCUAAUGCAAAAUUGAUGCAAUGUUUAUUUUGUGCGUUCUUGAUUCUACAAGUUCUAAAAAUUGUGUUCAUGGAUCCAAAGCUUCUAAUGUGUGAAUUUUUGGUUCUCAGGUAACAACAAAUUUCGGUGUGAUCGGUACCACCUGAUGAUUUGGUUUGUUUCAUUGUUGUGCGUCUUUGAAGCCAGCCAUUGCAUCACUUGCAUUUGUUUUUGUAGUUGUGAAGAUGGAUGGGGCUGCCCAACAUGAUCCGCCAAGGGCGUCCGCGCUGGUGCCAUGGGAGAGGCCAGGCUGCGGGAUUUUUGGUCCAAUGGCUCUGUCCACAUGGUAGGUCAGAAUUUAGAAAGAGGUACUUCCGAGUUCUGAUGAGGGACAUCAUGGAUUCCUAGAGUGACAAUGCAAAAAUAUUGGUGUUGACUGAACUGCGUUGGAAUAAAACUCAACCACAUGAUGAUGCUUAAAACUGCCCUAUGAUUUAAUAUAUAUCAGACGAGCUAAGGUAGUCUUAUUUUAUAGUUUGUUCUUUUUUCAUGAUGUUACUCAAUUGGUUUCUGUAUUUAUGAAAGAUGCACAAUGAUUGACCUGCUAACCUUUUGUCGCUGUUUGUUCUGUCUGUAUAAAUACGUGGAGUUAUUUCAAGUUUAACGCUUCAGCUUGAGGAUGUCGUGGAGUUAUUUCAAGUUUAACGCUUCAGCUUGAGGAUGUCGGUUUGGCCCAGUAGGAGUGUCAACUACUGAAUUUAUUUGUCAGCAUAAACAUGCUAUAGCUGUGUUAUCUUUAUUUUAUAUUACUAACCAUUUCCAUGCUAUCCUAUAGUUAGCCCUCUUUUUUCUAUACUUCGUGUUGUCAUAUAGAGUUGUGCUGAACACUAUUCUCGGUACCUUCUGUCUUAUAGUUUAUACUGCUUCUAACCGUUUUAAUCAGCUUCCUCUGAAAUGACUAUGGUCUCUAUGAAAUCAGCUCUUCCUUUGCUUUUCUAAUUUUGAUUUAUUCGUCAGUCUACCAAACAUAAGUUUAGGUCUAUGAUUAUAAGAUGCAACAAAUGUUAGCUUUGGGAGUGAAGGUUUACCUUUUCCAGUUACCUUCCUUAGGGGCCGUAUACUUGGAGUCGCGCAGUCUUUGGCAACAUGGCCCUUCAGGUCCCCUGAUGGUAAUGAUUCUCUUCCUUUUCUUCUUACAUGAGUUAACAACCUCUUCUUCAAAAUUGCAAAUGUUCAGAUAGAAAGCUAGGCAGAAAAGAAUAUAAUUUCGAUUAGACAUGCAUAUAUAUGUUAUAUUUCUUGCCACAGUGGAACUUCGAUGUUUUGAUUACAAAUCCAGACAGAAACUCAUGAGUACUUGACCAAAAAUACAUUCCACACAAAAGCUAAGAAAAUAAGUAUUGUGUUAGCAAAUCUGAUGCUAAAGAUUUCUAUGCCAUGGUGUUGUUCAAUUUCAAUAAAGUGUUCAUUCUUUCUUGCUGCAAAAAAAGCUAUGCAAAAUCAGUUAGCAUACAUAAUGGUUACAUUUUUAGACCAAUUUCCUAAUCAAUAUGGAGGCUAUAAAUCUUCUUGCCACUUUCCCUCAAACAAAGUAAACUUUACUGGGAAUCAGAAUGAUGCAAAGAAAUAACUAACACAACACUACUUUCAAAAUUUAAUCUGGAAGUUGCAGAGAUGCCCACGGAAAAAUAUUACAGGUGGUUGGCAGGCUGCCGAUGACUGUGCAUGCAAGGAGGGCUGGAGGGGUGGUGCAGGGCAAGUUGCCCUAUCCAAUCGAUGACGUUGUCGCCUUUGUAGUUAUCCUCGAGCGUUGGUCACCUCAUGCUGCAACCUGGUGGCCAGGCUCGACGCUGCCGGGUGGGGCGGCGAGACCAGCAGUAGAGGGCGACAGCAGCGCUCGAGGACAUGAUCUCGAGGACAAACAUGGACAUGAUCCCGAACAAGGUGGUGGCAAACGUUAGAGGAUGGCCGCUGCUUUGCAAAGAUGCUCACACUUUUCACAGUUGGACAGGAACAUGCUACUGUUGGGAAAAACAAGGGGCGGGUAGUUGCAGAUUGCCUAGAGAUGAACUAUGCAAGCUUUGGAUAAGUUGUAGUUUUCCCCUUCUCUAGAUUAGCUUUUGAGUUGUUCUCUUAGAAAUUGUAACUGGAUGAUGUAUAAGAACUUUUUUGGUCGUAUGUCGAUGGAAUCUGGGGCAGCCCAUUUUCUCUAAAUAAACAUCAAAUAUGUGUA